CUAUAGCCAUUUGUUAUUGUUUAAUGCACGGCAAUAUUACUGGUAAACAAGUUAGUAAGAAAUGCUUAAAUGAACAAACAGCAGAUUCGAAUCGAAUCGAUUCGAUUCAACAUCUCAUGCAUAUGGGUUCCCAAAAACUCUAUUAUCUAUAAGCAGAACUGUUGCAUGGACAGACUAUGACUCAGAUUUCAUCAUCCAAACGACUAGGUGAUGCACGCCCCACAAAGAUGGUUUGUUGAUAGUCGCACUGACAAUCUAUAACUAAUUACCAUAAUGACACGUUGCCGGCGGUUGCUGACGUUUAGAGCAUAUCAAUAAACUUAAUUACUUAGAGGCA